UACGUAGGGGGCUAGCGUUGUCCGGAAUCAUUGGGCGUAAAGCGCGCGUAGGCGGCCCGUUAAGUCCGGUGUGAAAGUCACAGGCUCAACCUGUGAAUGCCGCUGGAAACUGUCUGGCUAGAGUCCGGAAGGGGCGAGUGGAAUUCCUGGUGUAGCGGUGAAAUGCGCAGAUAUCAGGAGGAACACCGGUGGCGAAGGCGGGUCUCUGGGCAACAACUGACGCUGAGGAGCGAAAGCGUGGGGAGCGAACAGG
rnacentral:rRNA from 1 species